GAACGCGAAGAACCUUACCAGGUCUUGACAUCCCGAUGACCGGUGUAGAGAUACACCUUCUCUUCGGAGCAUCGGUGACAGGUGGUGCAUGGUUGUCGUCAGCUCGUGUCGUGAGAUGUUGGGUUAAGUCCCGCAACGAGCGCAACCCUUAUUGUUAGUUGAUACAUUUAGUUGAUCACUCUAGCGAGACUGCCGUUGAUAAAACGGAGGAAGGUGGGGACGACGUCAAAUCAUCAUGCCCCUUAUGACCUGGGCUACACACGUACUACAAUGGCAGUCAUACAGAGGGAAGCAAAGCCGUGAGGUGGAGCAAAUCCCUAAAAGCUGUCUCAGUUCAGAUUGUAGGCUGCAACUCGCCUACAUGAAGUCGGAAUUGCUAGUAAUCGCGGAUCAGCAUGCCGCGGUGAAUACGUUCCCGGGUCUUGUACACACC
rnacentral:rRNA from 1 species